GAUGAAGAACGUAGCGAAAUGCGAUAAGUAAUGUGAAUUGCAGAAUUCAGCGAAUCAUCGAAUCUUUGAACGCACAUUGCGCCCGCCAGCACUCUGGCGGGCAUGCCUGUUCGAGCGUCAUUUCAACCAUCAAGCCCCCAGGGGCUUGUGCUGGGGCCCUGCGGCUGCCCGCAGGCCCUGAAAACCAGUGGCGGGCUCGCUAGUCACACCGAGCGCAGUAGCACAUCUCGCUCAGGGCGUGCGGCGGGCUCCUGCCGUGAAACCCCCCACUGUAACCCCAAAGGUUGACCUCGGAUCAGGUAGGAAUACCCGCUGAACUUAAGCAUAUCAAUAAGCGGAGGA
rnacentral:misc_RNA from 1 species